ACACUGGUGUUUAUUGGUCUGGAUGGUC
rnacentral:piRNA from 1 species